CAGCCCUUCCCAGACCUCAUUUAAGGGUUGGCAGUGGAGUCAAGGUUAUGCUUGCUUGCUGGAGAUCCCUAUUCAUCUGAGGCCUUACAAGGGUGCAGCAGGGCCACGGCGCUGGAAUCCGGCCCGGCCCAGUGCCGGCGUUGGCAGCGGCCUUCCCAUUAUAUCAGGAAGGGCCAUAUCCCGUCGCCGCCAUGCCCCAGCCCCCCCGGCUCGCCUCAGCUGUCUGCAGGACCUGGAGCCGGACAGAGGGUGCCCUGGAAGAAGCAGAGCUGUUGGUCUGAGGUGUGGAAAGCCAGCGAGUCUGGAUGCGACCAUUGCUGCGUGGCGGACAGGGACCUGAAGUGUCAGCAAAAAUGGGUGAAUGCAGGAUUCCUUUUCUG
ensembl:lncRNA